CUUAGGAGAUUCUGAAAUUCUAGGGAGAGGUGUCCUUCCAGCUGAUGGGGCUGCCCAUGGCCCAGGUGUAAAGUUAUCACAGAGCUGGGAAGAAGACCGUGUUACCCAGCUCCGCAGGGAAUCAGGGAGUUUAGCAAGUUGAAGACUGGCAGCUCCACAAGCAUCCAUUGGUAGCUGCCAUGGCUCACAACAAAAGUGUUCUCACAGUGGCCUUGUUCUGAGAGGUGGCGGUGAGGCUGCCUUUUCCUGAGCUCUGAAAUCAGCAAGGCAGUAAUAAAAGAGUAGAAGUAUUUGAAGAAUACAAGAGAGCAGAAUUUCAGAGUGGGAAUAUCAGGACUUUAGCUGAAAAUACGCCUGUAUUAAACCAGGAAUCUUUGGCCGUGGCAUUUGGGCACAAACAUUGGGAAGAUUUAGGAACUGUGAAGAUUUAUCAUGGAAAUCAAAGAGGAAGGAGCAUCAGAAGAAGGCCAGAACUUUCUGCCUACACCCCAGGCAAAUGACACCGGGGACUUUCAGUUCACAAGUAUUCAGAAGACUCCAAAUGAACCACAGUUGGAAUUCAUCCUUG